UUACAACUUCAGAUACUUUAUUUUACUAUAAUAGUUGUUAACAAAUCUCCUUAAUGUUACAACAAUGGCAUUAAGGUUCUGCCCUGUAUGGUUAAUUACCAAUAAAACCAGGGGAUUUUAUUGGUAAACUUUUUAUAAUUUUACAUACUUGUAGUAUUGCGUGUUAGUUACAAUUAACAGAGUAAUAGCUGUCUACAACAUGUACUUUACUUUACAAUGAAAAGCAAAACGGAACUUUGACCGUCUUUUGUUUAGCUUUUAGUUUUGGAUUAAUCGAAAGUGAAAGAGCAUGGUUUCGAUCGGAUUAAGAGAUCUUAGAAAGAGAGUUGUAUCAUCUGCUAGCUGUGAGAUUUUUAGGCUAUAUGGAAUUAAUCGUGUCACAGAAUGUUGUUAGCCAAAUGACUUUACUAGAAGUGCUUAAUUUUGGAAAUAUGUGCACAACGAAGAAGUGUGUGAUAUCUAAGUUCAAGAACAGUUGGAUAUUUUUGGCUGUUUC